UCAGACGAUGCGUCAUGCAUAUCAAUAAGCGGAGGAAAAGAAACUAACAAGGAUUCCCUCAGUAACGGCGAGUGAAGCGGGAAGAGCUCAAAUUUGAAAUCUUGAAAGGUCACCUUUCACGAAUUGUAGUUUAAAGAAGUGUUUUCUGUUACGAUCGUAAUAUAAGUUCUUUGGAAUAGGACAUCACAGAGGGUGAGAAUCCCGUCUAUGAUUGCGAUUUGUAGCUUUGUGAUACACUUUCAAAGAGUCGGGUUGUUUGGGAAUGCAGCCCAAAGCGGGAGGUAAAUUUCUUCUAAGGCUAAAUAUUGGCGAGAGACCGAUAGCGAACAAGUACCGUGAGGGAAAGAUGAAAAGAACUUUGAAAAGAGAGUUAAAUAGUACGUGAAAUUGUCAAAAGGGAAGCGUUUCAACACCAGUGUUGUUUUCUGAAAAUCAACCUCUGUUAGCUUUAUGCAUGUUUGUUUAGACCUAAUCAGCUAUCUUGCAUGUUCUAUUGUUUGCAGUGGUGCACUUUUCAGUUUACAGGUCAACAUCAGUUUUUUUUACCGUAAAAAAGUUAAAGAAAGGUAGCUCAUGGCUCCGGUCGUGAGUGUUAUAGUCUUUUUCCUAUGCGGUAGGAGAGACUGAGGUCUGCAGUGUAGGCUAUUUGGCUAGAUACUCAGGUGCUAUGUGAUACCAUUUCAUAAACAACUUGUUGAUUAUGUUUUGUCUAUUGCAUACUCGCUUGUACUAUCAUACCUACGCUUAGGAUGUUGAAGACUCUACAGAGAU
rnacentral:rRNA from 1 species